rnacentral:rRNA from 1 species
AGAGUUGAUCCUGGCUUAGGAUGAACGCUAGCGACAGGCUUAACACAUGCAAGUCGAGGGGCAGCACGGGAGUAGCAAUACAACUGGUGGCGACCGGCGCACGGGUGAGUAACGCGUAUGCAACCUACCUAUCAGAGGGGAAUAACCCGGCGAAAGUCGGACUAAUACCGCAUAAAACAGGGGCACCGCAUGGUGAUAUUUGUUAAAGAGAUUCGCUGAUAGAUGGGCAUGCGUUCCAUUAGGUAGUUGGUGAGGUAACGGCUCACCAAGCCGACGAUGGAUAGGGGAACUGAGAGGUUGGUCCCCCACACUGGUACUGAGACACGGACCAGACUCCUACGGGAGGCAGCAGUGAGGAAUAUUGGUCAAUGGGCGGGAGCCUGAACCAGCCAAGUCGCGUGGAAAAGGAAGAAGGAUCUAUGGUUCGUAAACUUCUUUUGCAGGGGAAUAAAGUGCAGGACGUGUCCUGUUUUGUAUGUACCCUGAGAAUAAGGAUCGGCUAACUCCGUGCCAGCCGCAGC